GCCCAAGUUUGCCCAUGCCUCUUGUAGAGUCUCUGGAGUUUCUGGAGCACAACAACUACUUUCAAAAACUCUGGAUAAGGAAUGUUCCUGUGAUGCCUCAUGGGCCUUGUAGUCCCGUUCCUAGUGUCACUGUGGCAGAUGAGGAUGAAAACAUGGGGUUUUCUCCGGAUCAACAACAGCCGGACUCUUUCAAGAUGCCUGAUGUUGAUGUUCUUGCCCAAAAGCCAAUUAAAACCGACCUUGAACAGCUCUCACCUCCCUUCGCUAGGAGACAUUCCUUUACUGCAGACAGGGGAGUUAAAGAGCGGGUUCGCAGGAGUUUAAGAAUUGCUGCCAAACAAGACACUGAUUAGCCAUGUUUCCCCUGGGAAAAUCCAGAGAGUCUCACAUCUGCAAAGUUAGGUUUCGUUCCCUGUUCUCUAGGGAAAGAGGAUGCUGAACACCUGUUUGGCGGGAAAACGAGACCCCAAUAUAGGUGCCUGGCACGUUAGAAUUGUUGCGGAGUCAACUGAGCAGCUUCAGAAGCAACUUCGUGUUUCCAGCCUUGUGUGGACUUCGCAAAGUCCGCAACCCCAGUUCCUUGCUUCCCGGAUCAAGUAUUCAAGAUUUGUCUAGCCUUGAUUUUAGCCACGGACCUUGUUCUUAGAAUCUCCGUUUCGCCUUGUUCCUAGUCACGGACCUUGUUUAAUGAUUCAAGUUUGUUUCCAGCCUUGUUCUCAAGCUACCUUGGACUUCAAAGACUCUGGACAUUUUCCCCACACUUUUGCCUGGCAAUAGUGUGUGUUUCGGUUAUUGGAUAUAAAACUUUGAACUCUAAUAUCAAUUAUUGGGCAAUACAUUUUUGGACUUUAUUUGACCUCAUUUGAUAGGUCAGCUUCUGAACUAUAUUCUACACUUGUUUUUAUUACUUUUAUAUAUUUACUUAAUAAAGAUAUUAGAUAGA